AAAAUUUAAUUUUUUUUAUGUUAACCUAACACAAGAGCAUUUCAAGUAAGAUUAAAAGAAAAAGAAGGAACUCGGCAAAUAUUAACCUCGCCUGUUUACCAAAAACAUCGCCUCUUGCCCCAAUAUAAGAGGUCCAGCCUGCCCAGUGACUCUGUUCAACGGCCGCGGUAUCCUAACCGUGCGAAGGUAGCGUAAUCACUUGUUCUUUAAAUGAGGACUAGUAUGAACGGCACCACGAGGGUUAUACUGUCUCCUUUUUCCAAUCAGUGAAACUAAUCCCCCCAUGAAGAAGCGGGGAUAAACAUAUAAGACGAGAAGACCCUAUGGAGCUUUAAACUCAAUAACACUUGCUUUUAAACAUAAAUACUUCAGAGUAAUAAACACCCAUUACGGCCUCCUGAUUAUUAGUUUUAGGUUGGGGUGACCGCGGAGCAAAAAACAACCUCCACAUUGAACGGGGAACAUCCCCUGAGCCACGAGCCACAACUCUAUGCACCAAUAAAUUGACAUCUCUUGACCCAAUAUAUUGAUCAACG
rnacentral:rRNA from 1 species